rnacentral:misc_RNA from 1 species
UCGGCCGAAGAGGGAGAGGGGAAAAAUCUCUCCCUCCUCCUUUUCCUCCUCCCCUUCUCCUCCCGUUAGGAGAGGGUUGGCGCUCACUUUUUUGCCUCUUAGAAAAAGGUGAGUGGGUGGGUGCAUCGCCAUGCACGCGGUGCACAAGGAUGAUGCCAGGGCACCGCUUUUGAAUAACGAAAGCCGCUGCCGCGUGGCGUUGAUUGACACCUCCGGCUACGCCUCCGACAUGAACAUCUCUGCCUUUGUGCCCCAGCACGCAAUGAAGCCGUAUCGUGUGCUUGCGGCAAUGGAGAUUGUGCGCAGCCUCAAGAUCGAUGCUCACUGCCGCACUGUCGUGCCGCCUCUGGUGAAGGUUGAGGAGCUGAUGGCAUACCAUACCGACACCUACCUCGCGAACCUAGGCCUGCACAGCUGCCGCAGCUGGUUGUGGAACGCGGAGACGUCGAAAGUUUUCUUUUCUGGAGACUGUCCUCCGGUCGAGGGGCUGAUGGAGCACUCCAUCGCUACAGCCAGCGGGACGUUGAUGGGAGCGGUACUACUCAAUAGCGGCCAGGUCGACGUGGCGGUGCACUGGGGUGGCGGAAUGCAUCAUUCAAAGUGCGGCGAGUGCUCCGGGUUCUGCUACGUGAACGACAUCGUGCUCGGUAUUCUCGAGCUUCUGAAGUGCCAUGACCGGGUUCUGUACGUCGACAUCGAUAUGCACCACGGCGACGGCGUGGAUGAGGCCUUCUGCACGAGUGAUCGCGUCUUUACACUCUCACUGCACAAAUUCGGUGAGAGCUUCUUCCCUGGCACGGGGCACCCGCGCGACGUCGGCUACGGUCGUGGACGCUACUACAGCAUGAAUUUGGCUGUAUGGGACGGCAUCACCGACUUCUACUACCUUGGCGUAUUUGAACAUGCGCUGCACUCCAUCGUGCGGCGCUACUCACCAGAUGUAAUUGUGCUCCAGUGCGGCGCCGACUCGCUCGCUGGUGAUCGCCUCGGCUUGCUUAACCUGUCGUCUUUUGGUCAUGGGCAGUGCGUGCAGGCGGUGCGUGAUCUCGGUAUUCCGAUGCUGGCGCUCGGUGGCGGCGGCUACACGAUUCGCAACGUCGCAAAGCUGUGGGCGUAUGAGACCAGUAUCUUGACUGGUCACCCACUACCGCCGAACACGGUGCUCCCGGUUGCUGAGAUGCCGCUGAGCGGGUGGCUCUUUCAGGACUCACCCCUGCUGAUUGUCGCGCAGGACCGCAGCAAUCACGUCUUACCAGGGCUUCACUGCCAGCGUGCGUACCAGAUGAUGACGGAGCAAAUCGACCGCCACGUGCCGCACAUUCAACCGCAUCCGCGGCUGCAAAAGGCGUCCACCGAAGCAGCAGCAGUGGACAAGCAGGUGGAGGACGGCACGACAGCCGUCGAAGAUUUCAAGCGACAGUAAAUCCAACAAGGAAGUACGGAGGGGAGGGGGGCUGCGAGUCACAAGGCACACACUCGGGAAACCGUUAGAUUCACCACCACAAGCGUGAAUCGACGACGCUGGCAAUCAACGAAGCAGCGCUCAGAGCAAGGGUAUCGUAUUGUCUGAAGGUGCUGACGCAGCGAAAUCGGGAAAAAAGGGGAGCGACUCACUGCUCACAAGGUCGUACAGAAAGGCGCAAGCGUUAACGUUGCUGCAAAACCUGCCAGGGGUGAGGACUCCCAGAAGGGAGGGGGCAGAGGUAUGCUGAGGCAGUGGUUAAUCUUUCUUUCUGCUGCUUGCUUGCAUGCGCACGCCUGCGCUCGACACGUGUAUGUCUUUUUCUUUUUUUCGCGUGUCCUUGGUGUUCUCGUUCUACCAAACUCUCGAGGGCAGCACAUCCUCCCUCCUUCGAUGGUGAUCUCCACCUUGUCUCUUUCUCUUCCCUCCCUUUUCUUGUUUUUUUUUUCGAGUUAG